AGAGGAAGUAAAAGUCGUAACAAGGUUUCCGUAGGUGAACCUGCGGAAGGAUCAUUAUUGAAUGAACAUAGAGUCGGUUGUAGCUGGCCCCUUUUAACCGGGGGGCAUGUGCACGCCUUCUCUUUUCAUCCAUACACACACCUGUGAACUUGUGAGACGGAUUUCGACCCUCUCCGGGGGGGAAAGGUCCGUCUGCUAUACAUAAACUCCUGAAUAAUAAAUUAGAAUGUAAUCGAUGUAACGCAUCUUUAAACUAAGUUUCAACAACGGAUCUCUUGGCUCUCGCAUCGAUGAAGAACGCAGCGAAAUGCGAUAAGUAAUGUGAAUUGCAGAAUUCAGUGAAUCAUCGAAUCUUUGAACGCACCUUGCGCUCCUUGGUAUUCCUCGGAGCAUGCCUGUUUGAGUAUCAUGAAAUCUUCAAAAUAAAUCUUUUGUUCACUCGAUUGAUUUUAUUUUGGACUUGGAGGCUUGCAGAUUCACGUCUGCUCCUCUUAAAUUUAUUAGCUGGAUCUCGGUGAGCUCGGUUCCACUCGGCGUGAUAAGUAUCACUCGCUGAGGACACUGUAAAAGGUGGCCGGGAUUGCGGAUGAACCGCUUCUAAUAGUCCAUUGACUUGGACAAUAAAUACUUUAUGAUCUGAUCUCAAAUCAGGUAGGACUACCCGCUGAACUUAAGCAUAUCAAUAAGCGGAGGAAAAGAAACUAACAAGG
rnacentral:rRNA from 1 species